UACGAGGGGGGGCAAGCGUUUGUUCGGAAUUAUUGGGCGUAAAGGGCGCGUAGGCGGUUUGACAAGUCUGAUGUGAAAUCUAUGGGCUCAACCCAUAGCCUGCAUUAGAAACUGUCGGGCUUGAGUAUGGGAGAGGUGAGUGGAAUUUCCGGUGUAGCGGUGAAAUGCGUAGAUAUCGGAAGGAACACCUGUGGCGAAAGCGGCUCACUGGACCAUAACUGACGCUGAGGCGCGAAAGCUAGGGGAGCAAACAGGG
rnacentral:rRNA from 1 species